UACGAAGGGGGCUAGCGUUGUUCGGAAUUACUGGGCGUAAAGCGUAUGCAGGCGGAUCGUUAAGUCAGGGGUGAAAUCCUGGAGCUCAACUCCAGAACUGCCUUUGAUACUGAGGGUCUUGAGUUCGGGAGAGGUGAGUGGAACUGCGAGUGUAGAGGUGAAAUUCGUAGAUAUUCGCAAGAACACCAGUGGCGAAGGCGGCUCACUGGCCCGAUACUGACGCUGAUGCACGAAAGCGUGGGAAGCAAACAGG
rnacentral:rRNA from 1 species